UUGGAAGAUUAAUAUUUAAACAGAUGAGAUUUCGAGAAUUACCUGAACUUGGUGAGCCCAAAGAAGAUUCCUACGGCCCAUGGGAGGACAGAACAGAAGAACAAAACCUUGAAGUGGGUAAAAGAGAUCGUCAAAGGUUAGUGAAAGACUUAGCUGAUCUUCUCACCAGCAUGAGGGAACAAGAAACUGGAUCCACACUGCGCAUGCCAAGUCUACGUUUCGGAUAACUUCCUGCUCGUCAAAUAAUCUUUGAUUUAAACAAAAAAAAAGGUUCUUUGUUUAUUAAUUGGAUGAAUGGUUGACCCUCGGAUUGAAAUUUGAAUAAACAAAGUUAGACUUAA
rnacentral:sRNA from 1 species